rnacentral:SRP_RNA from 1 species
AACGGUGGCCGAAAUCAGAGGUAUACUUGAGCCCCUACACGGGCUGGGGCCUCCGUGUUCUCGAACCCGUCCCGCGUGGCACGGCGGUGGUCGAGUACCUGGGAGAG